rnacentral:rRNA from 1 species
GUCUACGGCCGCGCCACCCUGAACAAGCCCGAUCCCGUCUGAGCUCGGAAGCUAAGCAGGGUCGGGCCUGGUCAGUAUUGGAUGGGCGACCACCCAGGAAGACCAGGUGCUGUAGGCG